GAGACUGGUAUGGCUGGAAUGUUAAAAUUGAAUAUUGAAUUGCAAAGAAAUGAUAUAUUUAGAUGACAUUUUUAAUAGAUCUGGAGGAUUUGAUCACCAAACUAAGAUUUAGCACUUGUUGAAUAUACAUUAUUGUGGUUUCACCAUUCCCCAGCUGAAUUUCAUAGAUUGCAUGAGUAUAAAAAAAUAUGCCAGGAACAUAAAUGUAUGUGCAUGCACGCUCAGAGGCACACUCAUGUGCACACACACACUGACACACACACAUGCAUGCACACAGACAGUGCAUUGGCAGAGCCAGACUCAGGAAGCUGAAAACUACUGAACCAAAUCAAUAAGGAAUUUAAACAGUUCCAAUUAUCAUUCGCAUUCCUUUGAUUUACAGCCCAUUAGUGGAUACCAGUGAAGGAACAAUUAGGUGUUAAGAGACUGAAGGCCAGGUUAAUUUAGGAAGAAGUGGGUUGAUUUUCCAGCUGAAGAUAUCAACAGAAUCUCAUUUCAUUCAAUUCAGACAUUUCAUUUUAUUAGAGAUAUAUUUGCUACGGUACAUAUCUUUGAUUAUCCCUAUAAAAGCAACAUUAGGGACAUUUGGCUGUUAACUCAGUAAGGAAAGAUGCAGUUGAAAAUACAGUCCAGAAAUGUCUUCUGAAUUCUCUCAUAGAUCUGAAAUGCUAAAUCCAGGGAUACCAGGAAGAUGAUCCUGAUGGUUACAAGGGAUGCCCGAAAUUGCAACUGGUUGAGACAAGCACUUGGGAAAGGUUUCAAGCCGUGUACUAUGGUUGCAGAAGCGUGCUGUGGCAGUCUCCUCUCUGACAGCAUCAUCUGCAGGUUUCAAGGGAUCAUUUCUAAUGGCUAGAAGAUUAGUUAAGCGGAGAGCCAGCCCCCAGCUUCAUGCAAGCGGUGUCUAUUUUCGCAAGGCUCAGCAACCACCACAAUCCCCAUCAAGUGCCAGUGUCAAAUACGCACACCAGCAGGGCAUCAGGGCAGAGAUGACGCGUGGGCUUUGCUCAAAGCAUUUCGGGUGGUGGUGGACGCUGCUGGCUCUGCAUCCCACACAUCGCACCCGACUCGAGGAGCUGCCGGCAGAGCUGCUAAGCCAGCACCACGUGCGUGCUGCUCCCCGUCUGGUGCACGGUGCAGUCAUAAAUCCUCCCCGGCACGGCGUUUUGUUUGUGGAUCUGGCAGGAGGAGAGCAUCUCCCCAGGAGCUGCAGCAACAGCGAGGGGCUGGAAGGCACCCGGCUCCCUGCAGCCCCAGCACCGGAGCCUCUGCAGGACUGCCCACGCUGCUCUCCCUGCCCGCGGGAUGGAGGCACGGCUUUUCUGCAGGCAUCACAUCCUCCUACAUGGCAGAGGCUGGGCAGGAUUGCUCUGUAGCUCACAGACCUUUUGACCACUGUUUUAUUUUCCUUUCAUUCUCAAGUCAACCAGAUUUACUGCUUGCAGAGUAAAUAUUGGUGCAACCCCCAAGGGUCGGCAUCUAGCAAAAUGAGUGGUGUUUGCUGAGGCGGUGAUGGGGGGGGCUGAGGAGUGGCAGACACCGACGCAGCCGUUUUGAGACUGCUCCCAACGCCGGUAUUUUGAUUUUUUUUCCCAGUUUCUAGCAAUACCACUUUUCUGCCACUCUGCCUCUCCAGAGUUUCUGCUGACAGGACAGAACUGCUGGUAGCAAACACAUUAUUCAUUGUGAUUGAGUGCCUAGUAAUUACUUUAUAUAUUUUUUCAAUUCUCAAAUUAAAACCAUUUACUAGUAGGAACAGAUGUUAAAUUCAGGACUCUUGUUGAUUGUUAGUGUGACACACACAUGAAAUGUUUUAAACUAGAAGGCUGAUUGAAUUUUAAAUAUGCUGAUCACACUGGUGAAAUUUAAAAUAAUUGAAACUGGGAAUAACUGAAACGUUUCCAAGAAGGGAUGACAGAGGUGGGGUUUGCUAUUCAAACCCAUGAUUGCACAAAUCAUGUUAAGCUCUGCAGAGGAAAUACAACAAUUUUCUGUGUGUUGCGGAACCAACCAUGGACUUGCAUGGUACUUCAUGGUACUUUGGUAGUUCAAAAUGGCAGGAGAAAAGAACUUAGAGAUGAAAGUAGAACCUAUUUUCAAAUCAAUACCUCAAAUGCUAUCCACACACUCUGUAGGAAUGUGAUUUUUUUGUUUGUUUGUUUAUUCAAUAAAAUUAUAUUUUUCAGGGAAUCCA
ensembl:lncRNA